rnacentral:rRNA from 1 species
GGGGGGGGGGGGGGGGGGGGGGGGGGGGGGGGGGGGGGGCGCGGGGGGGUGGGGCUGGGGCCGGCUGGCUGAGCAGCGCACUGGGGAGUAACGCGUGGGGAAUCUGGCUUGGGGCGGGGGACCACCUUUGGAGACUGAGGCUAAUACCGCCUCACAACUUUAAACACAAGGUUUAAGUUUGAAAGAUGCAAUUGCAUCCCUCAAAGCUGAUCCCGCGUUGUCUUAGCUAGUGGGUGAGGUAAAGGCUCACCCAGGCGAUGAUACAUAGCCGACCUGAGAAGGUGAUCGGCCACAUUGGGACUGAGACACGGCCCAAACUCCUACGGGAGGCAGCAGGAGGGAAUCUGCGGCAAUGGACGAAAGUCUGACCGAGCAACGCGGCGUGAGGGAAGAAGGGUUUCGGAUCGUAAAACUCUGUUGGUAGAGAAGAACGUUGGUGAGAGUGGAAAGCUCAUCAAGUGACGGUAACUACCCAGAAAGGGACGGCUAACUACGUG